CGCAGCCCUGUCAAAUUCAGUGGCUCACCUUCAGUGGAGCUCACUGGCCAAAGUGGUUGCUACAGUGAGGAGGUAGUUCAUGGGCCCUGAUAUCUAAUACUGUAGAUGUUGGGGAUAAAUAGGGCUAUCUACACUC
ensembl:snoRNA